UCUUCAGCUGCCUCACAAACAUUGUUUUAUUUCACACAGGCAUCCAUCAGGACAGUGGCUGUGAAGCUUGGAACAAUAUGCAGCCGGCACCACAAGACAUGCUCAGAAGAUCUGGGAGAGCAUGAGAAGAGUUUUCUACCAGGGAACACAUGGCUUGAUUAAGUUAAUGGCCACUGUGGCCGGUGGAGCACUUUUCCUGCUGAUGUGCUAUGCUGGAAUCAAGUAUUGCUGGAAGAGAAAAGGGAGCACCUCUGCACCUUCAGAACAGCAGCCAAAGACUUUAAUCACCGAGAAGCUGACCUG